rnacentral:rRNA from 1 species
UGACGAAGCGACGCCGCGUGGAUGAAGAAGGCCUUCGGGUUGUAAAAUCCUGUCAGGAGUUAAGAAAUGUAAGUUUGAUAAUACCAAAUUUACUUGACAAAGGCUCCAAAGGAAGCCACGGCUAACUCUGUGCCAGCAGCCGCGGUAAUACAGAGGUGGCGAGCGUUGUUCGGAAUUAUUGGGCGUAAAGAGCACGUAGGUGGAUUUGUAAGUCAGAUGUGAAAGCCUUCUGUUCAACGGAAGAAUUGCAUCUGAAACUACAAACCUUGAGUAUAGGAGGGGAGAGUGGAACUUCUGGUGGAGCGGUGAAAUGCGUAGAUAUCAGAAGGAACGCCGGCGGCGAAAGCGACUCUCUGGCCUAUUACUGACACUGAGUGUGCGAAAGCUAGGGGAGCAAACGGGAUUAGAUACCCCGGUAGUCCUAGCCGUAAACGAUGGG